rnacentral:rRNA from 1 species
AACGUACGCUGGCGGCACGCCUAACACAUGCAAGUCGAACGAAGUAGCAAUACUUAGUGGCAGACGGGUGAGUAACAUGUAGGUAUCUGCCCUUUGGCCUGGAAUAACACGAGGAAACUUGUGCUAAUACCGGAUAAGUCUUUACGGAGAAAGCUUUAUGCACCAUUGGAUGAGCCUGCACUUGAUUAGUUUGUUGGUGGGGUAAUGGCCUACCAAGACUGUGAUCAAUAGCUGAUUUGAGAGGAUGAUCAGCCACAUUGGGACUGAGACACGGCCCAAACUCCUACGGGAGGCAGCAGUAGGGAAUCUUGCACAAUGGAGGAAACUCUGAUGCAGCGAUGCCGCGUGAGUGAAGAAGGCCCUUGGGUUGUAAAGCUCUUUCGUCGGGGAAGAAAAUGACUGUACCCGAAUAAGAAGGUCCGGCUAACUUCGUG